UAGGGAAUAUUGCACAAUCGACGAAAGUCUGAUGCAGCAACGCCGCGUGUGCGAUGAAGGCCUUCGGGUUGUAAAGCACUUUUCUGAGGGAAGAGAAAGGACGGUACCUCAGGAAUAAGUCUCGGCUAACUACGUGCCAGCAGCCGCGGUAAAAU
rnacentral:rRNA from 1 species